UCCCUCGGUAAAUUGAAUUAAAUUACUUCCCUGGUUUCCACCCCACAACACUUUCCCUCCCCAAAUUAGAAGCCCUAAUCGCUGCUGCCGUCCGCCUCAUUUGCGUUGCCGUCCACCUCCAUUGUUUCCGCUGCCAUCCACCAUUUGCGCUGUGAGCUCUCUCUCUCUCUCUCUCUCUCUCUCUCAUUGCCAGCCACCACAUCCUUGUCAGCUUCCUCAUUCCACUGUCGCUUUUGCCGUCGCCACGGCCACCGCCGCUCGCCGCCUGUCGCCCACUGCUUUUCAAGUUAUACUCCUCUAAUAUCAGCUUUUCAAGUUAUACUCCACUGAAUUGGAUUCGAAAGUCUGGGAUUGAGAAGAACACUGCAGAAUUUCUAGCAGCUAAAGAAAUUGAACUGUGAGUGAGCCAGAAAAGUAUGGUUAGACUGCUGACUGGAAGAAAGUAAAUAUUGAGCUCCUAAGCAGAAGUAUCCCCUCUUCGAUCAUCAUAAUUUGAGGCUUACUUUGAGGAAGAUUUUCAACAGAAAGCCAAUAUACUUCAUGUGGAUCUAACAAAGCAUUAUACCACUCCGCCCUUAACUCGUGAGAAGUAUAGGAAGAAGUCAAGAACAAGAAAAGAGAUUGAAAGAUUGUGAGCAACGGAGGAGCGCGAGCAUACACUCCAGCAUCUUCAGGCAGAGCGCGAGCAGAGAGUCCGAUUGGAGGAGUCACUUCGGGUGACUAAUGAGAUGCUCCAGUAGUUCUUGAGGUCCCAGUAGUCGAGGAGUAGUGGCUCGGGAGGUUCUUAACUUUCAUGUAGUACAUUUUGAUACAUUAUAAUGAUAUUUCGCUUAAAUGUAUUUUAUUUAGUAUUUUUUAUGUUAUUAUGAUAUUUACACAUAAACAUUUGGAUAUUGAACAAUGUCGAAUGAAUUUUAAAUUAUGUUUAGAUUA